AUUGAACGCUGGCGGCAGGCCUAACACAUGCAAGUCGAACGAGUGGCGGACGGGUGAGUAAUGUCUGGGAAACUGCCCGAUGGAGGGGGAUAACUACUGGAAACGGUAGCUAAUACCGCAUACCAUCGGAUGUGCCCAGAUGGGAUUAGCUAGUAGGUGGGGUAAUGGCUCACCUAGGCGACGAUCCCUAGCUGGGCUGAGAGGAUGACCAGGCACACUGGAAAUGAGACACGGUCCAGGCUCCUACGGGAGGCAGCAGUGGGGAAUAUUGCAAAAUGGGCGGAAGCCUGAUGCAGCCAUGCCGCGUGUAUGAAGAAGGCCUUCGGGUUGUAAAGUACUUUCAGCGGGGAGGCGUUACCCGCAGGAGAAGCACCGGGUAAAUCCGUGCCAGCAGCCGGGGUAAUUC
rnacentral:rRNA from 1 species